GACGAACGCUGGCGGCGUGCUUAACACAUGCAAGUCGUACGGUAAGGCCCUUUCGGGGGUACACGAGUGGCGAACGGGUGAGUAACACGUGAGUAACCUGCCCACAACUUUGGGAUAACGCUAGGAAACUGGUGCUAAUACUGGAUAUGUGCCCCUGCUGCAUGGUGGGGGUUGGAAAGCUCCGGCGGUUGUGGAUGGACUCGCGGCCUAUCAGCUUGUUGGUGGGGUAGUGGCCUACCAAGGCGGCGACGGGUAGCCGGCCUGAGAGGGUGACCGGCCACAAUGGGACUGAGAUACGGCCCAGACUCCUACGGGAGGCAGCAGGGGGGAAUAUUGCACAAUGGGCGCAAGCCUGAUGCAGCAACGCCGCGUGCGGGAUGACGGCCUUCGGGUUGUAAACCGCUUUCAGCAGGGACGAAGCUUUUUGUGACGGUACCUGCAGAAGAAGCACCGGCUAACUACGUG
rnacentral:rRNA from 1 species